rnacentral:rRNA from 1 species
GAGUGAACGCUAGUGGUGUGCAUAACACAUGCAAGUUGAACGAAUACUUUUAAAAAGUAUUAGUAGCGAACGGGUGAGUAAAAUAUGAGAAUUUACUUUAUAGUACAGAAUAAUUAUUGGAAACAAUAACUAAUACUGUAUAGGACAGAUAGUAAAAAAUUUAUUGCUAUAAAAUAAGCUCAUAGAAGAUUAGUUUGUUGGUGCAGAUAAUAGCUUACCAAGACUACAAUCUUUAGCUGGUUUGAGAGAAUGUACAGCCACACUGAAACUUAGAUACGGUUCAGACUUCUAUGGAAGGCAGCAGUGAGGAAUAUUGGACAAUGGGCAAAAGCCUGAUCCAGCGACACCACGUGAAUGAAGAAGGCCUUAGGGUUGUAAAAUUCUUUUAGUAGAAAAGAUAAUGACGGUAUCUACAAAAAAAGUCCCGGCUAACUUCGUGCCAGCAGCCGCGGUAAUACGAAGGGGGCAAGCGUUGCUCGGAUUUAUUGGGCGUAAAGAGUGCGUAGACUGAUUUAUAAGUUAAAAGUGAAAUGCUUUAGCUUAACUAAAGAACUGCUUUUAAUACUGUAAAUCUAGAGUUAUGAAAAAGAUAAAAGAAUUCUUAAUGUAGAAGUGAAAUUCGUAGAUAUUAAGAGGAAUGCCAAUAGCGAAAGCAUUUAUCUGGGCAUAAACUGACGUUGUUGCACGAAAGCAUGGGGAGCAAACAGGAUUAGAUACCCUGGUAGUCCAUGCAGUAACUAUGAGUGUUAGAUAUUAAAGUAUUUUUAUUUUAGUGUUAAAGCUAACGCAUUAAACACUCCGCCUGGGGAGUACGAUCGCAAGAUUAAAACUCAAAGGAAUUGACGGGGACCUGCACAAGCGGUGGAACAUGUGGUUUAAUUCGAUACUACGCGAAGAACCUUACCAAAUCUUGACAUGCUAACAAGGUAAUUAGGAAACUAACUACUCAGAUAUUCUGAGUUAGCACAGGUGUUGCAUGGCUGUCGUCAGCUCGUGUCGUGAGAUGUUGGGUUAAGUCCCGUAACGAGCGCAACCCUUAUCUUUAAUUGCCAUCAGAGAAAGCUGGGAACCUUAGAGAAACUGCCAAUGUAAAAUUGGAGGAAGGCGAGGAUGACGUCAAGUCAGUAUGGCCCUUAUGAUUUGGGCUACACACGUGUUACAAUGAUAGUGACAAUAUGAAGCAAUAAGGCGACUUGGAGCAAAACUAUAAAAUCUAUCUUAGUUCGGAUUGUACCCUGCAACUCGGGUGCAUGAAGUUGGAAUCGCUAGUAAUCGCAGAUCAGCACGCUGCGGUGAAUACGUUCUCAGGUCUUGUACACACUGCCCGUCAAGCCAUGGAAGU